rnacentral:lncRNA from 1 species
CUCUUUGUACGGCGAUGUUGGUGUUGUGGGAUAAGAUGAUUCUCUUAUCGGAACGGCGCUUUUUGUGUGCAAACAUUCCGUCUCAUGAUGGAGGAAGCGCAUGGAAACAUGGCCCUGGAUGAUUUUCGCCAUUGUAGUUUGUCCAACAUUGAACGCGACGAGCUUUCGCAGUUCUCAUUGAUGCAAGUGCAGAAAAAUGCCUUGGAGGAUUUGCACCAUUGUCAUUUGCACAUGUUCAACAUCUGCAUUUGCAUCUCUUAAAUCAAACAGGACAUGAAGGGUUGGCGCAGUUCUCAUUGAUAAAAGUGCAGAAUUUCUUGAAGGAUUUGCUCCAUUGUCAUUUGUACUUGUUCAACGCUUGCUUAUGCAUGUCACAAAUCAAAUUGAACACGAGUUGAUGCAGUUUUCAUGGAUUAAUCUGAAGUUCCCAACUGGAAAGUGUUUUGCAAGAGAUGUGGGAAGACCAAAAAGUCAGUCUGGAGGUCUGCAGUUUGGAAUAUGAAGUCCUGUUUUUCCACAAAUGCCAAUGUUGGAAAAUAUUUAUUCAUUUUUAACCACAUGUUGUUUGAGUUGAUGCUUGUUAAUAGAAGCUGUUGCCAAAUAUGCAUCGUAUUUCU